rnacentral:lncRNA from 1 species
AAAAAACUAGGAGCCUGGCCUUGCAGAGAGGGACACGCCUAACCAGAUACGUGAGCAACGUGUGUGCUCGAUGUCAGAGGAAAUACAGCGGCUGGCUCACCCCGCCCCUCCCAGAGGGACGAUCUACACGCAGUGUUAGGAGGGGGCACGGAGUCCACAGAUCAUGGGAAGAACUCCAUGAAUGGCCUGUGACUUGAAGCAGAAGCAGACACUUUCCAGACAGGAAAAGAGCCAGCUUGUGCUCCAUCCGAAAUCCAGAAGGGACAGUGUAACAGUGUGCCUCCCAGGGCACUCACCCUCUGGGACAUUCAGGAAGUGUUCAGGCACACUUGCAUCUCACCUAUCCAGCAAACAUCUUCACACCUGUUCCCCAGGGCCAUGCUGGAGGGGGAAGACCAGCAGAGGACUUUCGGUACGUCAAGUCCCAGGGGCUCAGGAUAUGUGCAUGGGGCACCUGAAAGACUGGAGAGGUGGGGAGCUGACUUCCAGUCCCUGCGGUGAGGGGGCUUUCGCCCAGGCUCUUAGUGACCCAGCGACAUCCUAGGAGACAAGGAGUCCAACUCCCAGAGUGGUAUUAAUGAUCAAAGAUGCCAUUUGUGAAGUGCCUGACCCUCAAGAUGGUCCAAAGCUGGAGUUACCCACUCGGGUGGAAGCAGGACUUGAAAGCAGUACUGCUUUGUCCUUUACACAACACUGUUUCUCAUGAAAAUCACAGACACUCAGUAGAUAACGUGAUGAAUGAGAGUCCACUGGCCACAGAGGAGAGUGUAUUUAUUCCACCAGGUUAACCAAAACGUCUCCAUUGGCUACAAAGUUCCCGGGCACGCAGCCUGUCCCCACCCAUGGGAGUCCCCUGGGGUGUGCAGGCUGUCAAUGAAAUGUCAUUCUGCGACUGCCACACUUCAGGGCUUCUUCUGACAAACAGAUGGUGACUUCUGACAUCCUUUGCAUGGUGUUUUUGCCCGCCCUGGGGAAACCAGCAUUUGUUUCCCUCUGCUCUGACUCGUCACAGAGUUCCUUCCCCCUGACUUUGAGAAGUAAAUAAAAAAUGCUUUCCUUACA